AAGACUAUAGACCUGCGGAGUACCUGCGGAGGGAUCAUUACAGAGAACGUACCCCUUGGGUAUAUCUCCCACCCUUUGUUUAAUAAUACCUUUGUUGCUUUGGUGGGCCUGUCAAUUAGACUACUGGCCCUAGCUGGUUUGUGCCCACCAAAGAACCUUUUAAAACUCUAUCUUGUACUGUCUGAGUACCUAAUAAAUAACUAAAACUUUUAACAACGGAUCUCUAGAUCGGAAGAGCAC
rnacentral:misc_RNA from 1 species